UGUGCGCUGGGACGCACACGGGACUGUAAAUCCUGCGCCGAGUGCUAUGUGGUUCGAUUCCAUCAGGCAGCACCA
rnacentral:tRNA from 2 species